rnacentral:misc_RNA from 1 species
UUUGUGGAGAUGUACAUGGUCAGGUAAUCACAUUACAUCUGUCAUGCACUUGCAGAAUUGGACCUUCAAACUCAAUAUGAUACUUCUUUAGAAUCUAAGUGUAAUUAUCAACUUCUUGCCUACAUUUUUUAUGUGUGAAUGAAACGCACUUAAUGGGUGAAGAGAGGCGUUAUCCAUAAUUUAAUAAAUUGUUGAGGUGAGCCUAAAAUAUAGUAUUUGGAUUUUGGAUUGCCAAAUGAGAAUAUAACUGCUAACUACCUCUAGUGUAUUAGCCUAUUGGGUGAGGAGAGAGAGCAUUUAAUGGAUAUGAUUCAUGGCAUACCAUAGCUAAAUCUGACUUUUGAUGUUGUUCUUUUAAUUUCAAUAAUACCCAAUGACAAUUCUUAAAUGGCAACAUAUUAUCCUAUAAGGCCUUGAAGAAUUCUUUCAAUAAAUUCUGUCUGCUGCAUGUUUUAGUUUGAAGCUUCGUCCUUCUUUAACUGUCUUCUGUCAUUUUUCAUUUUGAUAUUAAAGCCAAAAGAUAGCAAGAUUUGUAUUGACGCAUGGUGGAGGAUGAGAUACAAUGCGGUCAUGGGUGUAUGAUUUCAAUGAUUUGAAGAAGAUGAAAUGGAAACUUCUUUUGUUUCUGAUCUUAAAGAUGCGUUCUUGUCAUGCCUAAUAAGAGACAGAAGAUUAGAUGCACGUGUCCAUGCUUUAAUUAUCAAUUCAUUAUUGCUACAUUUGUUGCUUUUUUACUUGAAUGUCUUGUUGGUCCAAGCUAUUCAUUAUUGAUUAUCUUUUCUUGUUUUUCUACUUCAUUCUAUGGGAUUUACUCUUGUUUUAUGAUGCUUGCAGUUCUAUGAUCUGUUAAACAUAUUUGAGCUGAAUGGUCUUCCCUCGGAAGAGAAUCCAUAUCUGUUUAAUGGUGAUUUUGUGGAUAGGGGAUCAUUUUCUGUGGAGGUCAUCCUCACAUUGUUUGCAUUUAAGUGCAUGUGUCCAUCAGGUUUAUCCUCUUUGGUUAUUUAACAAACAUUUUGUUUAAUUAAUCCUUUUCUGUAAUGAUG